rnacentral:rRNA from 1 species
AUUGAACGCUGGCGGUAGGCCUAACACAUGCAAGUCGAACGCGAAAGUCCUUCGGGAUGAGUAGAGUGGCGGACGGGUGAGUAACGCGUAGGAAUCUAUCCUGUAGUGGGGGAUAACGUUUCGAAAGGAACGCUAAUACCGCAUACGCCCCAAGGGGAAAGCGGGGGAUCUUCGGACCUCGUGCUAUAGGAGGAGCCUGCGUCGGAUUAGCUAGUUGGUGAGGUAAAGGCUCACCAAGGCGACGAUCCGUAGCUGGUCUGAGAGGAUGAUCAGCCACACCGGAACUGAGACACGGUCCGGACUCCUACGGGAGGCAGCAGUGGGGAAUAUUGCGCAAUGGGCGAAAGCCUGACGCAGCCAUACCGCGUGUGUGAAGAAGGCCUUCGGUU